CAAAAUAUAGCUUAAAAAAAGCAUCUGACUUACACUCAGAAGAUUUCAAUCUAAUGGAUAUUUUGA
rnacentral:tRNA from 1 species